GCUGAUGUCCCUCUUGACCCUCUUUUCCCCCAUAAUUUUUCAACACGUUUGUGGUGAAUUUUUGAUCAGCUGGCCAGCUGACUGUCAACUAUGACAGAUUUUUUUGUUUUUGUUUUCAUAUAAUUCAUUCAUAUCAAAAACAUCCUCCGUCGUCUUGAUUCUGGCCGUCAAGGUUCCAGCUCUUCCGGCUCCGUCCUGUUACCGGAACUGAAGAAAAGAUUGUGUCGGUAUUAGUAUUUCGUGUCGUAUAAAGUUCGCUGUAAAAAACUCUCGACCGUAGAAAAUUCUCAAAUAAAACAAGGAGGACCACAAACGUAGUCGGUGAGUGGAUUCCGAUCCCGUGGUCGUGUUGCUGAAAAAAGUGGAUUACAAGUCCUAUUUAAGACGACAAAUCUACUGUUAAGGAUAGCAGAAUGGAAUAUUGAUCGCAACAGCAAGGAAGACACGCCGAAGCUUAAACAGAAACGUUCGACGAUUUUCUGCAGAAUGAAGAGCCUCAACUCAAUUGUGGCUGCCCCGGAAAUAAGUACACCGCUAGUGGCACCUGCACAAUCAUCACCAGAGCCACAACUGCUAUCUACUAAAAUUGUGCUACAACGGCGAUAGUUUCGGCAUCCUGACAUUAAAAUCAAGGCUGGUUUAUCGGACGAGACUCCAGACAAUCGUCUCUUACCGCGAUGUUACCGGAGAUGGUGUAUAACGUAACCGAUACAGUCAUAAACUUCUCCGUGGCCAGCACGAAAACCACGAACAAGCUCAUCUGCAGCUGAGCAUCGUAUAAUUUGCUCGAUUUUUGAUUUCGAUGCAUUUCGGAGACGGAUGAUUUCCUUAGCAUCGGUUCUGUUCGAAGUAGAAAAGAUCCAGAAGAUGCAGAAGUCACAACGAAAGCAAACGCUGCUGAGACGUUAGCGGUAGUGGCCAGCUGUAUGUUUCCCAUAAAGGCGCAAUGAUAGCCUUCUUUUUCCGAACACAAAAUGCUUUACCUGAAAUAGACUAUUUUCGAGAAAAAAAAAA